rnacentral:rRNA from 1 species
AUUGAACGCUGGCGGCAGGCCUAACACAUGCAAGUCGAACGAGUGGCGGACGGGUAAGUAAUGUCUGGGAAACUGCCUGAUGGAGGGGGAUAACUACUGGAAACGGUAGCUAAUACCGCAUACCAUCGGAUGUGCCCAGAUGGGAUUAGCUAGUAGGUGGGGUAAAGGCUCACCUAGGCGACGAUCCAUAGCUGGUCUGAGAGGAUGACCAGCCACCCUGGCAAUGAGACAACGUCCCGACUCCGCCGGGAGGCAGCAGUGGGGAAUAGUGCAAAAUUGGCGCCAGCCUGAUGCAGCCAUGCCGCGUGUAUGAAGAAGGCCCUCGGGUUUUAAAGUACUUUCAGCGGGGAGGCGUUACCCGCAGAAGAAGCACCGGCUAACUCCGUGCCAGCAGCCGCGGUAAUAC